rnacentral:rRNA from 1 species
GACGAACCGUGCGAACGUUGUUCGGAAUCACUGGGCUUAAAGGGCGCGUAGGCGGGGAGCCAAGUCGGUGGUGAAAUCUUUCGGCUUAACCGGAAAAUUGCCUUCGAUACUGGCUGUCUUGAGGGAGGUAGGGGCAGAUGGAACUUCCGGUGGAGCGGUGAAAUGUGUUGAUAUCGGAAGGAACGCCGGUGGCGAAAGCGAUCUGCUGGACCUCUUCUGACGCUGAGGCGCGAAAGCUAGGGGAGCAAACGGG